rnacentral:siRNA from 1 species
AUCAUCGACCUAAACCUGUCAAUU